GUCUAGUUGACGAGUCUUAAAUGGGACGAAACGUGCGUUCUGGAU
rnacentral:hammerhead_ribozyme from 1 species